rnacentral:tRNA from 1 species
GGAGAGGUGCCUGAGAGGCCGAAAGGAACGGUUUGCUAAACCGUCGUCUGGGGCAACCUGGACCGAGGGUUCGAAUCCCUCCCUCUCCG